rnacentral:rRNA from 1 species
AUCGGUGAUGGAUGGGGAUGCGUCUGAUUAGCUUGUUGGCGGGGUAACGGCCCACCAAGGCAACGAUCAGUAGGGGUUCUGAGAGGGAGGUCCCCCACAUUGGAACUGAGACACGGUCCAAACUCCUACGGGAGGCAGCAGUGAGGAAUAUUGGUCAAUGGACGAGAGUCUGAACCAGCCAAGUAGCGUGCAGGAUGACGGCCCUAUGGGUUGUAAACUGCUUUUAUAAGGGAAUAAAGUGAGAGUCGUGACUCUUUUUGCAUGUACCUUAUGAAUAAGGACCGGCUAAUUCCGUGCCAGCAGCCGCGGUAAUACGGAAGGUCCGGGCGUUAUCCGGAUUUAUUGGGUUUAAAGGGAGCGUAGGCCGGAGAUUAAGCGUGUUGUGAAAUGUAGACGCUCAACGUCUGCACUGCAGCGCGAACUGGUUUCCUUGAGUACGCACAAAGUGGGCGGAAUUCGUGGUGUAGCGGUGAAAUGCUUAGAUAUCACGAAGAACUCCGAUUGCGAAGGCAGCUCACUGGAGCGCAACUGACGCUGAAGCUCGAAAGUGCGGGUAUCGAACAGGAUUAGAUACCCUGGUAGUCCGCACGGUAAACGAUGGAUGCCCGCUGUUGGUCUGAAUAGGUCAGCGGCCAAGCGAAAGCAUUAAGCAUCCCACCUGGGGAGUA